AUUGAACGCUGGCGGCAGGCCUAACACAUGCAAGUCGAGCGGUUGAGGUAGCUUGCUACCGAUGCAGCGGCGGAACGGGUGAGUAAUACAUGGGAAUCUGCCUGGUAGUGGGGGACAACGUUUCGAAAGGAACGCUAAUACCGCAUACGCCCUACGGGGGAAAGGGGGGGAUCGUCGAACCUCUCGCUAUCAGAUGAGCC
rnacentral:rRNA from 1 species